UUAAGUGACUAAGCGUACACGGUGGAUGCCUAGGCAGUCAGAGGCGAUGAAGGGCGUGCUAAUCUGCGAAAAGCGUCGGUAAGGUGAUAUGAACCGUUAUAACCGGCGAUACCCGAAUGGGGAAACCCAGUGUGUUUCGACACACUAUCAUGUCAUGAAUACAUAGUGGCAUGAGGCGAACCGGGGGAACUGAAACAUCUAAGUACCCCGAGGAAAAGAAAUCAACCGAGAUUCCCCCAGUAGCGGCGAGCGAACGGGGAGGAGCCCAGAACCUGAAUCGGCUUGUGUGUUAGUGGAAGCGUCUGGAAAGUCGCGCAGCAAAGGGUGAUAGCCCCGUACACUAAAAUGCACAGGUCGUGAGUUCGAUGAGUAGGGCGGGACACGUGACAUCCUGUCUGAAUAUGGGGGGACCAUCCUCCAAGGCUAAAUACUCCUGACUGACCGAUAGUGAACCAGUACCGUGAGGGAAAGGCGAAAAGAACCCCGGCGAGGGGAGUGAAAUAGAACCUGAAACCGUGUACGUACAAGCAGUGGGAGCACCUUCGUGGUGUGACUGCGUACCUUUUGUAUAAUGGGUCAGCGACUUAUAUUUUGUAGCAAGGUUAACCGUAUAGGGGAGCCGUAGGGAAACCGAGUCUUAACUGGGCGAAUAGUUGCAAGGUAUAGACCCGAAACCCGGUGAUCUAGCCAUGGGCAGGUUGAAGGUUGGGUAACACUAACUGGAGGACCGAACCGACUAAUGUUGAAAAAUUAGCGGAUGACUUGUGGCUGGGGGUGAAAGGCCAAUCAAACCGGGAGAUAGCUGGUUCUCCCCGAAAGCUAUUUAGGUAGCGCCUCGUGAACUCAUCUUCGGGGGUAGAGCACUGUUUCGGCUAGGGGGCCAUCCCGGCUUACCAAACCGAUGCAAACUCCGAAUACCGAAGAAUGUUAUCACGGGAGACACACGGCGGGUGCUAACGUCCGUCGUGAAGAGGGAAACAACCCAGACCGCCAGCUAAGGUCCCAAAGUCAUGGUUAAGUGGGAAACGAUGUGGGAAGGCACAGACAGCCAGGAUGUUGGCUUAGAAGCAGCCAUCAUUUAAAGAAAGCGUAAUAGCUCACUGGUCGAGUCGGCCUGCGCGGAAGAUGUAACGGGGCUAAACCAUGCACCGAAGCUGCGGCAGCGACGCUUAGGCGUUGUUGGGUAGGGGAGCGUUCUGUAAGCCGUUGAAGGUGGCCUGUGAGGGUUGCUGGAGGUAUCAGAAGUGCGAAUGCUGACAUAAGUAACGAUAAAGCGGGUGAAAAGCCCGCUCGCCGGAAGACCAAGGGUUCCUGUCCAACGUUAAUCGGGGCAGGGUGAGUCGACCCCUAAGGCGAGGCUGAAAAGCGUAGUCGAUGGGAAACAGGUUAAUAUUCCUGUACUUGGUGUUACUGCGAAGGGGGGACGGAGAAGGCUAGGCUAGCCGGGCGACGGUUGUCCCGGUUUAAGCGUGUAGGGGGUGUGACCUGGUAAAUCCGGUUACAUACUAACCCUGAGGCGUGAUGACGAUGCACUACGGUGCAGAAGUAGUUGAUGCCCUGCUUCCAGGAAAAUCCUCUAAGCUCCAGGUAACAUUAAAUCGUACCCCAAACCGACACAGGUGGUCAGGUAGAGAAUACCAAGGCGCUUGAGAGAACUCGGGUGAAGGAACUAGGCAAAAUGGUGCCGUAACUUCGGGAGAAGGCACGCUGGCAUGUAGGUGAAGUCCCUCGCGGAUGGAGCUGAAGCCAGUCGAAGAUACCAGCUGGCUGCAACUGUUUAAUAAAAACACAGCACUGUGCAAACACGAAAGUGGACGUAUACGGUGUGACGCCUGCCCGGUGCUGGAAGGUUAAUUGAUGGGGUCAGCCGCAAGGCGAAGCUCUUGAUCGAAGCCCCAGUAAACGGCGGCCGUAACUAUAACGGUCCUAAGGUAGCGAAAUUCCUUGUCGGGUAAGUUCCGACCUGCACGAAUGGCGUAAUGAUGGCCAGGCUGUCUCCACCCGAGACUCAGUGAAAUUGAACUCGCUGUGAAGAUGCAGUGUACCCGCGGCAAGACGGAAAGACCCCGUGAACCUUUACUAUAGCUUGACACUGAACAUUGAGCCUUGAUGUGUAGGAUAGGUGGGAGGCUUUGAAGCGUGGACGCCAGUCUGCGUGGAGCCAUCCUUGAAAUACCACCCUUUAAUGUUUGAUGUUCUAACUCGGCCCCGUAAUCCGGGGUGAGGACAGUGUCUGGUGGGUAGUUUGACUGGGGCGGUCUCCUCCCAAAGAGUAACGGAGGAGCACGAAGGUUAGCUAAUCACGGUCGGACAUCGUGAGGUUAGUGCAAAGGCAUAAGCUAGCUUGACUGCGAGAGUGACGGCUCGAGCAGGUACGAAAGUAGGUCUUAGUGAUCCGGUGGUUCUGAAUGGAAGGGCCAUCGCUCAACGGAUAAAAGGUACUCCGGGGAUAACAGGCUGAUACCGCCCAAGAGUUCAUAUCGACGGCGGUGUUUGGCACCUCGAUGUCGGCUCAUCACAUCCUGGGGCUGAAGUAGGUCCCAAGGGUAUGGCUGUUCGCCAUUUAAAGUGGUACGCGAGCUGGGUUUAGAACGUCGUGAGACAGUUCGGUCCCUAUCUGCCGUGGGCGUUGGAAGAUUGAGAGGGGUUGCUCCUAGUACGAGAGGACCGGAGUGAACGCACCACUGGUGUUCGGGUUGUCAUGCCAAUGGCAUUGCCCGGUAGCUAAGUGCGGAAAAGAUAAGCGCUGAAAGCAUCUAAGCGCGAAACUUGCCUCAAGAUGAGUCUUCCCUGGGCCUUUAAGGCCCCUGAAGGAACGUUUAAGACUAAGACGUUGAUAGGCUGGGUGUGUAAGUGCAGCGAUGCAUUGAGCUAACCAGUACUAAUGAUCCGUGAGGCUUAACCUU
rnacentral:rRNA from 1 species